rnacentral:misc_RNA from 1 species
GCAUUGAUUACAUGUAUCUCGAAAGAGACGCAGAUAAAAUACUGUCUUUGCCUCUUACUAGUGUUUGUAUCACAAUGUAGAAGUAUACCGUUAUAUGAGCUGAUAUGCUGACCUGCACACGGCACCUGUAUUCUGUUCUCGAGUAAUUAAACAAUGCCGAGAUCAUAAGUACAGUUUUUACCUCAGGAGCAGAUAGGGAACAUUUCUUCAGGCGGUUUACUACAAUAUACAAUGAGUGUCCCAAAAAGAGUCAGUGUGGUUCUUUUGUCGUUCCUGUGUUUCUUGAUCCUUUUUGGCUUCAGGACGGUGUUCACCAUGGUGAUGGUUUACGUCAUCAUAGACAACGACAGUGAUGACGUUACCUUUGUUGAGUGCAAUUUAAACGGCACAGCGUACGACCUACAUUUGGAUUGGAGCGUUGCUACGUCACAGUACUUCAACACAGCCUAUUUUGUGGGUUACGUCAUCACUCAGGUACCUGGGGGAUUCCUAGCACUCAGGUUCUCUCCUACAAAAAUACUGGGAGGAUCCAUCUUCCUGAGUGGGUCUUGUUUCUUGGUCCUGGCAUUUUUAAUGCCAUACAGUACAAUGAUAGUAUUUGCGAUUAGAUUCAUCCAAGGACUUGCAGAGGGUAUGUGUCAGCCAGCGCUGAGCGCCAUUCUGUCGGCGUGGGCCCCAGUGUCGGAGCGGGCUGGAAUCGUCGGAUUCUCAUACUCAGGGGUCUACUUGAGCACCACCCUCGCCUCGGUGGUGACGGGGGUGGCCACCUGUUACAUCAGCUGGAACGCUGGGCUGUUGAUAUACGGUACCCUGGGGGUUGUAUUAUCGAUUAUUUGGCUCUGUACAAUCUAUGAAACUCCAGAACAACACCCUCGUCUAAGCGAGAAAGAGAGGAGAGUCUAUGAAGAAGAGGGCGCAAAUAUGCAAAAGGCUUCGGCAGUCAAGGCAAAGAGCAUUCCGUGGAAGGGUAUAUUUACGUCACUUCCUGUCUGGGCAUUACUGCUGGCCAAUGUAACAAGGUCUUGGGUUUUUGCCACAAUGGUUACGGAGAUACCCCAAUAUUUUGCUGACGUCUUUGCGCUCAGUGUUGCGACGAUUGGAUUCUUGACAUCUAUACCGCCCAUUCUGAUGUCGGUUUUUAUCGUUUUAAGUGGAAUUCUUAUGGAUAAAUUAAUUAAAAAGAAGAAGAUAUCAACAACAGCUGGUCGCAAACUGUCCCUUCUCGUUGCAUACCGGGUAAAUCCUUUAGACCUGUCACCUCAAUAUGCAAGCAUUCUCACAGGCGUGGCCAGACUGGGCCAGCUCGGAGGUUCUAUCAGUACAACAUUAGCCGGAGCCCUCAGGGAAAAGAAUGCAGAAUCUUGGCAAAAGAUUUUAAUAAUCACGGGAUCAGUUCAUCUAUUUGCUGUUGUCAUAUUCACUAUUUUUGGAUCGGGAAAACAGCAGAAAUGGGCCCAAUCAGUGUACGAACCGUUAACUUCAAACAAUGGUCAAAAACAGAACUAUGGAUCCACCAACACUUCAUCGUCUUCUAAUCAAUUUUUAUUGAAUAGCGCGUUAAUAAGCGACAAACCAUCUUAAACAGGCUUCAUCAUCACCAAACACUUGAACAACACAAACGUUUCAUUUAGUAGCUUGUUCAACAUCCUACCGGUUCCACACGUUAUAAUUGGUCAUUCAAAGCUACGAAGCUUUUUACUGGUCGAUUGCUUUUGGCCAAAGGGGUCGGAAUUUGUUUCAAUAUGGUCAAGUUUUAUUUUCGUUAACCGUGCUCUAGCAUUCUUUUCCGGGGCUCUUUCAGGUCGUCUUGAAUUAAGUGAAAUAUAUAUACACUGUAUACGGACAAAUCAGAACUAAGCACCGCCAGCUACUGACCGCCGUAUCUUGUCUACCCAGUAUUCUAAAAGUGGAGUGACUGUCACAAUUCUGUACCAUGUUCUAUGUCAUUAUAUUCGAUUUUUGUCUGUGUUGAUAUAAACGAUAUCAAUAACCGUAUUAUAUAACGAGACUGUUCAUCAGAACAGCUGCAUGAAUUCAAAAGAUUUCCAGUGCGUUGUGUUGUGCAUGUUUUGACUUAACAAUUAGACUUUUAAAGUGUUAUAUUACCAUUUACUUAGAAAAAAAACCCCAAUAAAACUUGAAUUAUUUUGCUUAC